rnacentral:sRNA from 2 species
UCGCGUCAAGCGCCGUAGGCAGGAGCGGGGGACCCAAGGUAAGUGCCGGAACCGGCAGUUGAGGCAACUCGACCGCCGGCACCGGCUAGGGGUGAAGCCGCGCACCGCACGAGUGCGCGGCCGGGCAACUCAACCGGCCCGAACCCGACAGCUCACCUCGCAGGCGUCGGUGAGGGGAUCG